rnacentral:rRNA from 1 species
UACGGGGGGGGGCAAGCGUUGUUCGGAAUUACUGGGCGUAAAGCGCACGUAGGCGGAUUUGUAAGUCAGGGGUGAAAUCCCGGGGCUCAACCUCGGAACUGCCUUUGAUACUGCAAGUCUCGAGUCCGAUAGAGGUGAGUGGAAUUCCUAGUGUAGAGGUGAAAUUCGUAGAUAUUAGGAAGAACACCAGUGGCGAAGGCGGCUCACUGGAUCGGUACUGACGCUGAGGUGCGAAAGCGUGGGGAGCAAACAGG